rnacentral:lncRNA from 1 species
AUGUAUCAUUAAGCUAUACAUCAAGGGAGACGGUACAUGAAUUAAAAGAUGUAAGUAAACAUUACUUUGAAUCCUUAUGAAGUAGUUGCACUUGUAAGUUAUUGGUCGUGGGCAAAGCGCAAUUGUGAAUCUUCUACGUCGUCUAUAUAUGAACCAACAAGUGGCUAGGUUGGAAGGCAUUUUCAACCAAACCAUGGGUUUGGACCAAAAAUGGCAGAUUCAUGGGUUAAGAUAUUAUUCAGGAUUUUAGGUGCUAAACGAGAAGAUUCAAGUGCCAACAGUUAUACAAAAGAAUUAUGAUGGAGUAAUGAACCAUGAAAUUAAGGUCUUUCAACUAGACUGACUAUUUGGCCCGAUUAUCAUGAUGGUAUGACCGUGUGAUGUUUUAUCUCUAGCGAGUAUAAAAGUGUAAAGUCGAAAACUUGCCUCCAACCUUGCUUUGUCAGGGUUCUUUGGCAUAAAUUACAUGUUAAUAUGAAUUCUUUAGUGAA